rnacentral:tRNA from 2 species
GGCCCUAUCGUCUAACGGUUAGGACAUGAGCUUUUCAAGCUUAGAAUCCGGGUUCGAUUCCCGGUGGGGUCACAA